CUUGGAGGUUCAGGCCCCAAAUGGAUCUGCAGCAACCUGAAAGUCACCAUAAAUGUGGAGACAUGCCCCACUCUAUGGGACCACACUGACAUUACCAUGCUGACCAUCACUUCACCCAGCGGCUCUGGAGGGAGAUCAGUGAAGAUUUAUUUAGCACCUGAGGUAUCUCAGCGCAGCUGCUCAAAGCUAAUGUGGUUACUGGGUGGCUGUCUUUCUGGGACUGCUUCAAGACAGAAUACAACUUGAUGUUUCAGUACCCGAGUGGAUCCGCAGCAACCUAAAAGCCGCUAUAUAUGUAUAGUGCUUCUACCCUCCUUUCCCUCUACACGAAAAACUUUUUGUAGUUAGAUAACGACAAUCGUACAAACGUAGAACCUUAUAUCUCAGAAAUCCAUCAUUAUCUCAA